rnacentral:misc_RNA from 1 species
GUAAAAAAAAAAAAUGCAAAUCAUAACCUAUGGCUGAACCCUAGUGCUUUAUUUGAAAUGCUAUUGUGAUACAUGUUAUAUUAAUGUUAUACUCGUUGCUAUGGAGGGCCUUGAAUUGGAUUUUGCAUUGCUUUUUGCGGGUAUAUUAUUUGCUUUUGUUUCAAUAAGCAAUUUUAAUAUAUAUGCAUCAAAAUAUCUGUUAUUCUUGAAAAUAGUGAUUGGUUUUACUAUUCAUUUUUUUUUUAUGCUGCAGCUGCAACUGUUUUCUUUUUGCCUGUCCUAAAUGGUCCAUUAUUUUUGCGUGGAUGUCCAAAACAUUAUAAUUGUUUUUGACCACAAACAUUCAAGUCCAAGAUGUUGAUAUUAACUGUAGUUAUCUUGGUUUCCAUGUUUUUGUUAACCUCCUGUAUUUUAUGUUUUCUUGGGAUGUGUAAUUUUUCAUGCUUUGGCAAUUGCAAUGUCAGGGUAUUCCUGAUCAAGCUGAAGCUCCACCUGUAACUCGUGUCCCUGUGAGUGGGGAAGUUGCAAAUCCUCCAGCCCAACCUCAGCAGCCAGUGCAACCUUCAACUGUUCCUUCUA